ensembl:snoRNA SNORD14 Small nucleolar RNA SNORD14
UCGCUGUGAUGAGGUCAUUUCCUGCCAUUCGUAGUUUCCACCAGAGGUCCAACAGACCAGUGACGGUCCAAACCUUCCUUGGAUGUCUGAGCGA